UGGGGAAUUUUGGACAAUGGGGGCAACCCUGAUCCAGCAAUGCCGCGUGAGUGAAGAAGGCCUUCGGGUUGUAAAGCUCUUUUGUCAGGGAAGAAACGGUGAGUUCUAAUACAACUUGCUAAUGACGGUACCUGAAGAAUAAGCACCGGCUAACUACGUGCCAGCAGCCGCGGUAAUACGUAGGGUGCAAGCGUUAAUCGGAAUUACUGGGCGUAAAGCGUGCGCAGGCGGUUAUAUAAGUCAGAUGUGAAAUCCCCGGGCUCAACCUGGGAACUGCAUUUGAGACUGUAUGGCUAGAGUGUGUCAGAGGGGGGUAGAAUUCCACGUGUAGCAGUGAAAUGCGUAGAGAUGUGGAGGAAUACCGAUGGCGAAGGCAGCCCCCUGGGAUAACACUGACGCUCAUGCACGAAAGCGUGGGGAGCAAACA
rnacentral:rRNA from 1 species